rnacentral:rRNA from 1 species
UACGUAGGGACCAAGCGUUGUUCGGAUUUACUGGGCGUAAAGCGUGCGUAGACGGUUACAUAAGUCAGAUGUGAAAGCCCCGGGCUCAACCUGGGAAUUACAUUUGAGACUGCGUAGCUAGGGUGCGGAAGAGGGAAGCGGAAUUUCCGGUGUAGCGGUGAAAUGCGUAGAUAUCGGAAGGAACACCAGUGGCGAAAGCGGCUUCCUGGUCCAGCACCGACGUCAGGCACGAAAGCGUGGGGAGCAAACAGGG